rnacentral:rRNA from 1 species
AGUUUGAUCCUGGCUCAGGAUGAACGCUGGCGGCGUGCCUAAUACAUGCAAGUCGAACGAGGUGCUUGAGUAGCAAUACGAGAGUAUCCUAGUGGCGAACGGGUGAGUAACGCGUUGGUGACCUACCCCAAAGUGUGGGAUAACAGUUCGAAAGGACUGCUAAUACCGCAUGUGGUUAUUGGAUUUAGAAACUGAUAACUAAAGGAGCAAUUCGCUUUGGGAGGGACCUGCGUCCCAUCAGCUAGUUGGUGAGGUAAUGGCUCACCAAGGCUACGACGGGUAGGGGACCUGAGAGGGUGACCCCCCACAAUGGAACUGAAACACGGUCCAUACACCUACGGGUGGCAGCAGUAGGGAAUAUUGCACAAUGGGCGAAAGCCUGAUGCAGCAACGCCGCGUGUGCGAUGAAGGCCUUCGGGUCGUAAAGCACUUUUCUGAGGGAUGAGCAAGGACAGUACCUCAGGAAUAAGUCUCGGCUAACUACGUGCCAGCAGCCGCGGUAAAACGUAGGAGGCAAGCGUUAUCCGGAUUCACUGGGCGUAAAGCGCGUGCAGGCGGUUCGGUAAGUUGGGCGUGAAAUCUCCUGGCUUAACUAGGAGAGGUCGUUCAAUACUACCGGACUUGAGAGUGAUAGAGGAAGAUGGAAUUCCCGGUGUAGUGGUGAAAUGCGUAGAUAUCGGGAGGAACACCAGUGGCGAAGGCGAUCUUCUGGUCUGUUUCUGACACUCAGACGCGACAGCUAGGGUAGUAAACGGGAUUAGAGACCCCGGUAAUCCUAGCCGUAAACGAUGUAAACUUGGCGUUGGUGGGUUAAACUCCAUCAGUGCCGCAG